rnacentral:rRNA from 1 species
GAUGAACGCUGGCGGCGUGCCUAAUACAUGCAAGUCGAGCGAACAGACGAGGAGCUUGCUCCUCUGACGUUAGCGGCGGACGGGUGAGUAACACGUGGAUAACCUACCUAUAAGACUGGGUUAACUUCGGGAAACCGGAGCUAAUACCGGAUAAUAUAUUGAACCGCAUGGUUCAAUAGUGAAAGACGGUUUUGCUGUCACUUAUAGAUGGAUCCGCGCCGCAUUAGCUAGUUGGUAAGGUAACGGCUUACCAAGGCAACGAUGCGUAGCCGACCUGAGAGGGUGAUCGGCCACACUGGAACUGAGACACGGUCCAGACUCCUACGGGAGGCAGCAGUAGGGAAUCUUCCGCAAUGGGCGAAAGCCUGACAGAGCAACGCCGCGUGAGUGAUGAAGGUCUUCGGAUCGUAAAACUCUGUUAUUAGGGAAGAACAAAUGUGUAAGUAACUAUGCACGUCUUGACGGUACCUAAUCAGAAAGCCACGGCUAACUACGUG